rnacentral:rRNA from 1 species
AGGAUUAGAUACCCCUGGUAGUCCACGCCCUAAACGAUGUCUACUAGUUGUUGGUGGAGUAAAAUCCAUGAGUAACGCAGCUAACGCGUGAAGUAGACCGCCUGGGGAGUACGGUCGCAAGAUUAAAACUCAAAUGAAUUGACGGGGGCCCGCACAAGCGGUGGAUUAUGUGGAUUAAUUCGAUGCAACGCGAAAAACCUUACCUGGCCUUGACAUGUAACGAACUUUCCAGAGAUGGAUUGGUGCUCGAAAGAGAACGUUAACACAGGUGCUGCAUGGCUGUCGUCAGCUCGUGUCGUGAGAUGUUGGGUUAAGUCCCGCAACGAGCGCAACCCUUGCCAUUAAUUGCCAUCAUUUAGUUGGGCACUUUAAUGGGACUGCCGGUGACAAACCGGAGGAAGGUGGGGAUGACGUCAAGUCCUCAUGGCCCUUAUGGCCAGGGCUUCACACGUAAUACAAUGGUCGGUACAGAGGGUUGCCAACCCGCGAGGGGGAGCCAAUCCCAGAAAGCCGAUCGUAGUCCGGAUUGUAGUCUGCAACUCGACUACAUGAAGUCGGAAUCGCUAGUAAUCGCGGAUCAGCAUGUCGCGGUGAAUACGUUCCCGGGCCUUGUACACACCGCCCGUCACACCAUGGGAGUGGGUUUUACCAGAAGUAGGUAGUCUAACCGCAAGGAGGACGCUUACCACGGUAGUAUUCAUGACUGGGGUGAAGUCGUAACAAGGUAACC